AAAGGUAAGCUACUAAGAGCGAAUGGUGGAUGCCUUGACUGGUAAAGGCGAUGAAGGACGUACUAGACUGCGAUAAGCUACGGGGAGCUGUCAAGAAGCUUUGAUCCGUAGAUUUCCGAAUGGGGCAACCCAAUGUAUAGAGAUAUACAUUACCUAUAUAGGAGCGAACGAGGGGAAUUGAAACAUCUUAGUACUCUCAGGAAAAGAAAUCAAUAGAGAUUGCGUCAGUAGCGGCGAGCGAAAGCGCAAGAGGGCAAACCCAGUGCUUGCACUGGGGGUUGUAGGACUGCAAUGUGCAAGAGGU
rnacentral:rRNA from 1 species